AUUGAACGCUGGCGGCAGGCCUAACACAUGCAAGUCGAACGAGUGGCGGACGGGUGAGUAAUGUCUGGGAAACUGCCUGAUGGAGGGGGAUAACUACUGGAAACGGUAGCUAAUACCGCAUACCAUCGGAUGUGCCCAGAUGGGAUUAGCUAGUAGGUGGGGUAAAGGCGCACCUAGGCGACGAUCCCUAGCUGGUAGUAGAGGAUGACCAGCCACACUGGAACGUAGGCACGGUCCAGACUCCUACGGGAGGCAGCAUUGGGGAAUAUUGCAAAAUGGGCGCGAUCCGGAUGCAGCCAUGCCGCGUGUAGUAAGAAGUCCUUCGGGUUGUAAAGUACUUUCAGCGUGGAGGCGUUACCCGCAGAAGAAGCACCGGCUAACUCCGUGCCAGCAGCCGCGGUAAUAC
rnacentral:rRNA from 1 species